CAAUAGCGUAUAUUAAAGUUGUUGCGGUUAAAAAGCUCGUAGUUGGAUUUCUGCUGAGAACGACCGGUCCGCCCUUUGGGUGUGUAUCUGGCUCUUUCUUGGCAUCUUCUUGGUGAACGUUGCUGCACUUGACUGUGUGGAGCGCUACCCAGGACUUUUACUUUGAGGAAAUUAGAGUGUUUCAAGCAGGCAUACGCCUUGAAUACAUUAGCAUGGAAUAAUAAGAUAGGACCUCGGUUCUAUUUUGUUGGUUUCUAGAGCUGAGGUAAUGAUUAAUAGGGAUAGUUGGGGGCAUUCGUAUUUAACGGUCAGAGGUGAAAUUCUUGGAUUUGUUAAAGACGGACUACUGCGAAAGCAUUUGCCAAGGAUGUUUUCAUUGA
rnacentral:rRNA from 1 species